rnacentral:rRNA from 1 species
CAAUAGCGUAUAUUAACGUUGUUGCAGUUAAAAAGCUCGUAGUUGGAUAUCUGGAGGGAGCGUCGGCCCGUAUUUACGAGUGCGUGACGUCUCUGUCCAUCCUUGCGGGAAGGCACGGCAUUGAUUUGUUGUGUCGGAUCGCAUCAUUUACUGUGAAAAAAUUAGAGUGUUCAAAGCAGGCUUUCGCUUGAAUACAUUAGCAUGGAAUAAUAAGAUAGGACUUUGGUGCUAUUUUGUUGGUUGAGCCUAAAGUAAUGAUUAAUAGGGAUAGUUGGGGGCACCUGUAUUGCGUUGUCAGAGGUGAAAUUCUUGGAUUUACGAAAGACAAACAGCUGCGAAAGCGUCUGCCAAGGAUGUUUUCAUUAA